UGAAGUUACAUGAUGGUCGCUU
rnacentral:miRNA from 1 species